CAAAAUAAUAAUAAUAAAAAAAAGGUUUAAAGAAUGAUCAAUAAUAACAUCUAGCUCAUUAUAAUACUACAAUCCCCACCAUGGAAGGUACUUAUCCACCAUUUUUUGAUCACGGGACAUAAGUACUAACAUGAUUUCUCACGGUUCUUGCAUGCCCUGCACUCCUCCCCUAAAACACAAUGAUGCUCACAGCCCUCAUGCAUCAUUCAUUUUGCCUACAGAAAAACCUCCUGCUAUAGUUGCUCAGAGAGGUGGAUUUGAGGCAAUUCCUCCUUAACAAUCCUUACUGUCUCAGCAAUUGGCUUUCUGUGCAGCAGGCAACACUGAACACUCCUUGUGGGCUUGCUAACACCACCUGCUCUGUCACCAGCCUGCCUGUGGAAGUGCCUGCCCUCUCUGGUGCCCAGGAUCCUCAUUGGUGAAAUGGACAUAGCACCUCUUUGCUCAUCACUCAUAUUCAUGCAGUGAUAAAAAGUGAGGAUAUAAAUGACGUGAAAGGGCAUUGAAAAAUGUGGUAAGUUAAUGAGACCGAGUCAUUGUCUCUUCCCCAUUUCCCAGGUCCUGCUCACAACUGCUCUCCAGGGCCCCAAGCCCCUAACUCUAUCCUAGCCCUUUGAACAAUCUUUGCCUUCUUUGGGGAAAGACGACAUGGAAUCCCAAGAACAGGACUAAAAUUGCAUCCCCAUUUCUUCUCUUGGCUGUUUCCACAAUCGCUGUUACUCGCAGACACUGGGGCCAUUCUCCUGGCUGCUGGGCCCACUCACCAGACCAGGGGGAGGGGUUUGUGUGUGUCACAAAGGGCAUUCAGUGACGGGGUCAUGCGAGGGCCUGUGCGUGUCAUAAAUACCAGAGGAGCUCUGGGCACAUCCCAUUUACUCAUUCUGAUUCUUCUGGACUAGUGAGUACGCAGCAGUGUCUUCUGAAAAUGACAAAAAGACUCCCUCGUGUUUCUCGCCCUCAGCUCCAGCCUCGCCCUCCUCCUGUUCCUUCACACUCUCAGUCCAAAACCAUCCUUCCUCCCCUUGCUCCUCAGUAUCCCACCCUUCAGCCUCCUCCCCAGAACCACCCAGCUCUUUCUGUUCAUUGCCCCACCAAGCUCCCCUCUCUGACUAAUCCCCCCAAUUCCCACUACUCCACCCUGAUGCUCUACAUGACCAGCUCCUCCUCUGUUCCUUCCCGACAGCCCAUCUACCAACCCCAGGUCCACCAACCCCUGGUCCGCUCCACUCCCCGUUCCCGCUUCCCUUCUGUCCAGACCCCCACCCCUCCUCCCAGCCCCUCUGCCUAGGCCCCUACACCCUCAUCCCUGCCCACUGUCCAGUCACCCGUGGCCAGACCUGCCAGGUCCCAAAUCUCCUCCUGGGGAGGUGGUGUCCCUGCUGCUGGGACAGUUUGGAGCAGCCCAGAACUGCUGGGACAGCGGCCUGACAUGGUGGCCACCGGGCAGGCAAGACACUGGCAACCCACGCUCAGCCUCGGAAAUGAUUGACCCAAGUGAGGUCCAUGACACGUCCAUGAUCUCCUGGGUCUGCCGCUUGCUGGCCAGCCCUUUGCUGGGGUCCAGGGCCGGUUCCAGUAACCAGGCUGGGUCCCCAGAAGGUCAGGCAGGAGCUGUUGCCUGGAGACUGCGAGGCCAGCACCAGUCCCGCCAGCUGAGCCCGCGGGAGACGUUAUCACCAGUCCAGACAGCAGAAGUGGGCGAUGCCGCACCAGGACCUCAAGCAGAGGGCGUGGCAGAUACCGGCACCAGUCCCGCCAGGUGAACACGCAGGAGACACCGGCACCGGGAUAGCCAGCAGAGAGCGCAGGAGAGGACAGCACCAGCCACACAGCAAACGGCGUGACAGACGCCCGCACCACGCCAGAAAGCAGAGUGCACAGAAGAUGCCAGAACAACCGCAGGCCCGCCAGCAGAGGGUGCGGGUGAGGACGGCACCAGGCCCGCCAGCAGAGUGCUCGGGAGACGCCAGAACAACCCAGCUCGGGCGAGACGGCACCACGCCUGCCAGAGGAGGGCUCGACAGAGGACAGCAGCAGGCCAGAAGCAGAGGGCUUGGCAGAGGAUGUCACCAGGCCCACCAGCAAUGGGCGUGGGCGUGCACGGCACCGGCCCGCCUGCAGAAGGUGCGGGGCGGCCGCAGGACCUGCGCUCCAAGGCCGUGGCGGGACGCCAGAGGGAGAAGGGGUGGCGCUUGCGGUCCAUCAGAACUCCAUCUUACGCAAACUGGACCUAAAAGCUUUGCACCCUGAAACUCUACACGCUGUAUCACACGAACCCCCUGUGCAGGGUGCGGGGCAGCGGGGUGGGGAACGGCCAGAGUGGGCGGGGAGGCCUCGGGAGGAGCCUUGGGGGCUGCCGGCAGGUGGUGCCAGCCCGGGGAAGAGGAAGAGCUUCCCUGACACUUCCCUCAUAGCUGUCAGAGCCAGCUUGGGAAGGCCUCGCCCCGCUUCACUUCGGAUAUAUUAGAUAUAUUACAAUGCAGCCACAUGGUGAUUAUAUAUUUUCAUUGCAGGAAAAAAGUUAAAAUGAUAGUUAUAAUUCUGUUUUUGAAAUAAUUAUA